rnacentral:rRNA from 1 species
CGGACGGGUGAGUAACGCGUGAGAAUCUGGCUUCGGGUUCGGGACAACCACUGGAAACGGUGGCUAAUACCGGAUGUGCCCUAUGGGGUGAAAGGUUAACUGCCGGAAGAUGAGCUCGCGUCCGAUUAGCUAGUAGGUGUGGUAAGAGCGCACCUAGGCGACGAUCGGUAGCUGGUCUGAGAGGACGAUCAGCCACACUGGGACUGAGACACGGCCCAGACUCCUACGGGAGGCAGCAGUGGGGAAUUUUCCGCAAUGGGCGAAAGCCUGACGGAGCAAUACCGCGUGAGGGAGGAAGGCUCUUGGGUUGUAAACCUCUUUUCUCAGGGAAGAAUAAGUGACGGUACCUGAGGAAUCAGCAUCGGCUAACUCCGUGCCAGCAGCCGCGGUAAUACGGAGGAUGCAAGCGUUAUCCGGAAUGAUUGGGCGUAAAGCGUCCGUAGGUGGUGGCUCAAGUCUAUUGUCAAAGCGUCUGGCUCAACCAGAUAAAGGCAGUGGAAACUGAGUAACUAGAGUGCAUUCGGGGCAGGGGGAAUUCCUGGUGGAGCGGUGAAACCCGUAG